rnacentral:rRNA from 1 species
UACGUAGGGCGCAAGCGUUGUCCGGAAUUAUUGGGCGUAAAGAGCUCGUAGGCGGUUUGUCGCGUCUGCUGUGAAAACCUGAGGCUCAACCUCGGGCUUGCAGUGGGUACGGGCAGACUAGAGUGCGGUAGGGGUGACUGGAAUUCCUGGUGUAGCGGUGGAAUGCGCAGAUAUCAGGAGGAACACCGAUGGCGAAGGCAGGUCACUGGGCCGCAACUGGAC